rnacentral:tRNA from 1 species
GGGGAUGUGGCUCAGUGGCAGAGCGCUUGCCUAACAUGCAGGAGGCACUGGGUGUGAGCACCAGCACCA